rnacentral:lncRNA from 1 species
GUUGGUGGUAGAGUGGGACCAGAACCCUGGGUCCUUUCUAUGACAUCACCACCCCCCAUACCUCUAUGGAUUUCUGCAGAACACCCCACUCUGCCCUCCAAUUCUGGCCAAUCCUCUGAUGCCUGGGCUUCCCUAUCAACAACAGAGAAAGAUCGCUUCCCAUGCCAGUAUGGAAACAUGCAUCUCCUUUCCAGCCACGCCCACGGCCAGCUCUGGGGAAAGCCCUCUUCUGCAGAGUUCACAUUCACACUUCAAAGACGUCCCAUCAUUCUCACCACCUGCUGGAGGAGCGUACGGUUUACAGCAACUGCUGUCAAAUGAAAAUAUUAAGGUGUGUCAUCAUCGACCUCAGCCAUCAAAUUUGUCAGAGGGCAGCUUCUGGUUCAUCUCCAAGGUCAAAAUGACCACGCAAAAUAACAGUUUGAAUCGAUGUAGGACAUGGCAGCAAUCAUGACAGCAUGUGAAGGCAUGAGAGCCGUUUCAGAACUGCUGCAGUAAGUGACAAAAACGGUGAGGUAAAUGUUUCACAUGGGCUGGGGAUGUAGCUCAGUGGCACCGUGCCUGCU